rnacentral:tRNA from 2 species
GUCAGUAUAUUGGUCCAGGCAAUAGUUGCAGGAUUGAUUUACGCGAGAUUUAUCAAGUAAAAAGUUAAGAGCUUUUAGCGGCUUUGUCGCUGGUUCAAAUCCAGCCGCUGCCACCA